rnacentral:rRNA from 1 species
UACGUAGGGUGCAAGCGUUGUCCGGAAUUAUUGGGCGUAAAGAGCUCGUAGGCGGUCUGUCGCGUCUGCUGUGAAAACCUGGGGCUUAACCCCGGGCCUGCAGUGGGUACGGGCAGACUAGAGUGUGGUAGGGGAGACUGGAAUUCCUGGUGUAGCGGUGAAAUGCGCAGAUAUCAGGAGGAACACCGAUGGCGAAGGCAGCCCCCUGGGCUGAGAUUGACGCUCAGGCACGAAAGCGUGGGGAGCAAACAGG